rnacentral:rRNA from 1 species
AUUGAACGCUGGCGGCAGGCCUAACACAUGCAAGUCGAGUGAGCGGCGGACGGGUGAGUAAUGUCUGGGAAACUGCCUGAUGGAGGGGGAUAACUACUGUAAACGGUAGCUAAUACCGCAUACCAUCAGAUGUGCCCAGAUGGGAUUAGCUAGUAGGUGGGGUAACGGCUCACCUAGGCGACGAUCCCUAGCUGGUCUGAGUGGAUGACCAGCCACACUGGAACAGAGACACAGUACUGACUCCUACGAGUGGCAGCAGUAGGGAAUAUUGCACAAUGGGCGCAAGCCUGAUGCAGCCAUGCCGCGUGUGUGAAGAAGGCCUUCUAGUUGUAAAGCACUUUCAGCGAGGAGGCGUUACCCGCAGAAGAAGCACCGUCUAACUCCGUGCCAGCAGCCGCGGUAAUUC